CAGCCCAGUUCUGUCCUUGGCGGAAUUAUCCUGGCAUCCCUGGGCCUGGCUCAGGGCCACACAGAGGACGGGGAGUUGUGUAAAUGUUUGUGGUGUUAAAUUGGACUUGUCUCAAGCUCCUGAAGCUCAGCAUCUGUGGAGCCCCAGGGAAGGGGCCCGCGAAGGAGAUGAAAGCAGGCAGAAGCCCGUUUCAAAGCUGGCCUUUUUGGUGCGGAUAAAAGGAGGGAGGCAGUUGGAAAGCCAGCCAGGGAGGGGAGAGGACUGAGAAGCGAUGCAGCCAUGGACAGGGGCGCUGACCACUGCUCCCACACCCCCGACAGCCUGCCAAAGCUGCCCCUCCUCUGGGCCUCCAUUUCCAGACACAUGGAGGUGACAGCACCCGCCCUGGAGAGGACUGAGGCCAAGGGCCGACCUGGAAGGCUGCACAAGCUGGGGACUCGACACUUCCAAGAAGACCGUUCAGACGGACCACGACGGCAUGCUCCUGCCUGGCACUGUGCAACACAGAAAUCCUUAAAUUCA